rnacentral:sRNA from 1 species
AUUCUACCCAUGCGGGGAAGGAUGAGAAGCUUCGACCAAGGUUCGAUUCGAGCGAAAGCGAGAAAGCGUUGCCAACGGCAACGACCCGAAGGGCGAAGCGCGCAGCGCUGAGUAAUCCUUCCCCCACCACCA